UACGUAGGGUGCAAGCGUUGUCCGGAAUUAUUGGGCGUAAAGAGCUCGUAGGCGGUUUGUCGCGUCGAAUGUGAAAACCCGGGGCUCAACCCCGGGCCUGCAUUCGAUACGGGCAGACUAGAGUUCGGUAGGGGAGUCUGGAAUUCCUGGUGUAGCGGUGAAAUGCGUAGAUAUCGGGAGGAACACCAGUGGCGAAGGCGGAGACCUGGGCAGAUAUUGACGCUGAGGUGCGAAAGCGUGGGGAGCAAACAGG
rnacentral:rRNA from 1 species